GGAUUAGAUACCCUGGUAGUCCACGCCGUAAACGAUGAGUACUAGGUGUUGCGGGUAUUGACCCCUGCAGUGCCGUAGCUAACGCAUUAAGUGCUCCGCCUGGGGACUACGGCCGCAGGGCUAAAACUCAAAGGAAUUGACGGGGGCCCGCACAAGCGGUGGAGUAUGUGGUUUAAUUCGACGCAACGCGCAGAACCUUACCCGGGCUUGACAUCGAGGGAAAGCUCUUAGAAAUGAGGGCCCUCAUCUUCGGAUGACCCAAAGACAGGUGCUGCAUGGCUGUCGUCAGCUCGUGCCG
rnacentral:rRNA from 1 species